ensembl:lncRNA
GGGAGCGCGCGGGGGGCGUCCGCUGUACGCUCCGCUCCGCCCCGCGGCCCCGUGCUGUCCGCGGGGAUCCGCCUCGGCGCGGAGCGGCCGGGCCUCGGGGGCUGCUCCCGCUCGAUCGGCGCGGGCGCGGGGCCGCGGAACGGAGUGGGGCCAUCAUCGGCGCCCAUUUCCCGCUGAUACUCGGCUCUGCCUUCGCCGCCAUGGUGCUCGUCGGGACCCUUGCAGGACCGUACGUGGCGGCAGCGGCGGCUCUGCUCGGGCCCAGCACCGCUGCGGGAACGGCGGCACCUCUUGAGCGGAACGGCCGCGCCGGUGGCACCGCCCCGGAGCCCUUCCGGACCGAACUGCGCGCACCGUCCGAGAAAGAAAGUAUCGGAUCUGAGACUGUGACCGAAAAUAAUUCUGGAAGCAGGUUCGUAGCGCGUUCUUUGCCUUACAAGUACCUUCUUCCGUGUCUUGAUGCAUCGCUAAUAUAGGAUAAUCGCUAACUGAUGAACGAGUGGGGAAUUAAUAUUUGUCGAAGUGUUCGCAGUGACCGUGAGCGGAGCGGUUUCGAUGGGCACGGCGCUCGGAUGUGGCCGUGUCCGUUCUCGGACCUCCUUCGGGUGUUCAGCCCGAUGCCGCCGCAUUCGUGCCGCCGAAGUGCAUUCGGGACGGAACCGUCCGAGCUCGAGCCGCGCUCUGUUUUCGGGCGCUCAGAACCCCCGAACUCGUUCGCUGUAUUUCCUUACGGCCUUCCGAGGGGACGGGGCGCAGAAGGAGCCACCCAUUGACCUCCGUGGGACUGUAAGCGGCACCCCCUUCCCCGGCACCAGCCCCGGCCGCUUCCCUCCGCCCCGGUGCUGCGCACUGCGCCGGUCCCGAGCGCUCCGUGCGUUUCCGGCAGAACCCCGCGCGCUGCCGGGGCCGCCCGGUGUCGGCGGCAUCGCCGCGGUGAUGGCUUUGGUAGAGGAGUUCCGAAGCGGGAACCAAGCGGUCUGAGACGUUUCUAAUAAGACGUAAAUUCAGCGCUGGUAAGGUCCCGAGCUGGGUUAACGUGAGAACGCUGGCGCUCCGACGCACAGCUGUGCGCGUUAACGCGUGGCCGCUCCCCGCAGGACGUCACGCGUGGGCCCGGAGCGCCGGCCGGGGGCACAGCCGCUCCUCGUGCUGGCGGCGCCCCCUGGCGGCUCUCGGUCGGGCCGCGGCUCCUCUUGGGGCGGGAGCGGCGGCAGCUGUCGGUGUCACGGAGUGCCGGGCUCGGCGCCGAGGCUCCGCGUGUUCCCCCGGAGCGGCCCCACGGCACAGCAUGGCGGCGGGACGCGGAGAGCGCCGUUCAGACAAUAAUGUCCUCUUACUGGGCUCUUCUUGAUAAUGAAGUCAGCGCCUUGUGUGCACGUGUGGAUGUAGUUCUGUGCUGGAGUUGUGAGUACCCUGUAUUACAGCUGGACAAGUAGCAAAACUGAGGUUGGUAACAUGAAGUUUGUCUGAAACUUAUACAUCCCCGUGUGUUCAGAAUGGAAUAUUAUUAAAUACACAGAUACCUUAAGACAAGCUCUGUUUAACUCUUCUUCCAUUUGCCAUGCAUACAUUGCAGUACCUUUUCUUGUAAAUUUUGUGCAGCUGAAAAUGUCUGAAAGGGUGUGAGUGUACUGCUAUGAACAGAAUAACCUGUGUUUUACAUUCCUUGGGUGCAAAUGCUUGUUCUCUCUCUCAUUUAUGGACUCUAUAACAAGCCUACGGUACAUUGAAGCAUUGCCUACACUCUUGGUUGUUAUCCCAAAGUGCAGAUGUGAGUCUCCACAUCCAAACAGUGAUCAGGGAAGGGUGAACUGAGGGCAGCACUCCAUGCAGAUGUACUUUGCUGAAUUAUUGUAUUGGUUAUGGCAAACGUAGGAGCAAGGGAGAAAGGGUCUUGGUUCACAUAGCUAUUUAGAGAAUUGGUGACUGAGAGCAGAAAACCCACUCUGAGUCACUGUAACCUUGCUGCCUGACCACAUUC